rnacentral:rRNA from 1 species
AUUGAACGCUGGCGGCAUGCCUUACACAUGCAAGUCGAACGGCAGCACGGGGGCAACCCUGGUGGCGAGUGGCGAACGGGUGAGUAAUGCAUCGGAACGUGCCCAGUAGUGGGGGAUAACUAGUCGAAAGAUUAGCUAAUACCGCAUACGACCUAUGGGUGGAAAGCGGGGGAGUCGCAAGACCUCGCGCUAUUGGAGCGGCCGAUGUCUGAUUAGCUAGUUGGCGGGGUAAAA